AGAGCAGCAGUUUUCAAUUCCCUUUUGCACAAAAAAUGAGUGACCGAGGUGCAGGCCCUGGGUGGAGCAGCCCUCGCAUCCUUCGAUGCAGCUGCAGGCUCUGAGCAGUGGUCAGCUGAGCCGCGAUGGCCUCCCUGCCAGAUUUCUCCUCCCUGCCCCCAUACCUCCUAAUAAUAAAAAGGAAUCAUGAUAGUGCAGGAUUCAUUCCCCAGACAAUAGUGAGGCAGGCUGUAUAUUGCUUUAUGGCUGUUGACUUGAUUUAAAAUGCACUCUUAAAAAUGAAAGAACAACUCCUUAAAUUUGCAGUAAAUGUAUAGUUCCACAGAUCUGAUUUACUGGUUAUGAGCCACCAAAGAAUUGCAAUUGCAAUUUAUUGUAUUGUUGACUCUAGCAGCGAAAACCUCAGCAUCACUGUAGCUUUGGAAACCAUGAAAAACCUGACCGUUUUAGAUUAAUCAUUUAUUUCAGGGGAUAACGACGAUUGCUUUGAUGGUGACUGUUUAACCCAACGUGUGUGAGAUCAAAGGCGUGCAGUUGGCUUGUGCUUUGCUCAGUUCAGAGCGUUUUAGCCUUGGUUGACUCAUAAUUGCAAGAAUUCCCAACUGGCUGGAAGUGGAAGGAACUUGCUGCAGAGCACCAGGCACAGCACGAGGUGCAGGAACCUGCCUGGGCUGCAGCACACAGCAGAGCAGCAAGGAAUCCAUCUGCUUGCACAGAGCUCCUCGCUGUGAGCCCACUGUCCUCAUUUCCCUCGCACCCUUGCCAGCAGUGAACGUGCUGCUCAGUUGCUCAGCACAAGCACAAGGCACAGCCUCAGCACCAGCCUGAGCACCGGCACCGGCUCCCAGCACGAGAACCGACAGAGGCAAAACACGCUGCAGGUUGCAGGCGGUGCAGCUGAACCGCUCUGCCUCUGUUCUCCUGAAGGCACAAACAAAGGCGAAUCACGUGCAGCACUGUCUCACACGCAGCCUCUAACACGCAGGCACACGAAUUCAUUUCUCUGCUCCCGCAGCACCGCUUGCUG